GGAGAGGUGGCCGAGUGGCUGAAGGCGGCGGUUUGCUAAACCGUUGUAGGAGCUAAAACUCUUACCGGGGGUUCGAAUCCCCCCCUCUCCGCCA
rnacentral:tRNA from 1 species